rnacentral:rRNA from 1 species
CAUGGCUGUCGUCAGCUCGUGUCGUGAGAUGUUGGGUUAAGUCCCGCAACGAGCGCAACCCUUGUCACUAGUUGCCAUCAUUUGGUUGGGCACUCUAGUGAGACUGCCGGUGACAAACCGGAGGAAGGUGGGGAUGACGUCAAGUCCUCAUGGCCCUUAUAGGUGGGGCUACACACGUCAUACAAUGGAUGGUACAAAGGGUCGCCAACCCGCGAGGGGGGAGCCAAUCCCAUAAAGCCAUUCGUAGUCCGGAUCGCAGUCUGCAACUCGACUGCGUGAAGUCGGAAUCGCUAGUAAUCGUGGAUCAGAAUGUCACGGUGAAUACGUUCCCGGGCCUU